rnacentral:rRNA from 1 species
UACGGAGGAUGCAAGCGUUAUCCGGAAUGAUUGGGCGUAAAGCGUCCGCCGGGGGCUAUGUAAGUCUGCUGUUAAAGAGUGAGGCUCAACCUCAUAAGAGCAGUGGAAACUACAUGGCUAGAGUGCGUUCGGGGCAGAGGGAAUUCCUGGUGUAGCGGUGAAAUGCGUAGAGAUCAGGAAGAACACCGGUGGCGAAAGCGCUCUGCUAGGCCGCAACUGACACUGAGGGACGAAAGCUAGGGGAGCGAAUGGG